AUCAUGCACCUCCACAAGUUACAUACUAAAAUUGGAUCGAUACAGAGAAGAUUAGCAUGGCCCCUGCGAAAGGAUGACACGCAAAUCCGUGAAGCGUUCCAUAUUUUG
ensembl:snRNA U6 U6 spliceosomal RNA